rnacentral:rRNA from 1 species
AGAGUUUGAUCCUGGCUCAGAUUGAACGCUGGCGGCAGGCCUAACACAUGCAAGUCGAGCGGUAACAGGGGAAGCUUGCUUCUCGCUGACGAGCGGCGGACGGGUGAGUAAUGUAUGGGGAUCUGCCCGAUAGAGGGGGAUAACUACUGGAAACGGUAGCUAAUACCGCAUAAUCUCUUAGGAGCAAAGCAGGGGAACUUCGGUCCUUGCGCUAUCGGAUGAACCCAUAUGGGAUUAGCUAGUAGGUGGGGUAAUGGCUCACCUAGGCGACGAUCCCUAGCUGGUCUGAGAGGAUGAUCAGCCACACUGGGACUGAGACACGGCCCAGACUCCUACGGGAGGCAGCAGUGGGGAAUAUUGCACAAUGGGCGCAAGCCUGAUGCAGCCAUGCCGCGUGUAUGAAGAAGGCCCUAGGGUUGUAAAGUACUUUCAGUCGGGAGGAAGGCGUUGAUGCUAAUAUCAUCAACGAUUGACGUUACCGACAGAAGAAGCACCGGCUAACUCCGUGCCAGCAGCCGCGGU